rnacentral:rRNA from 1 species
UACGUAGGGUCCGAGCGUUUGUCCGGAAUUACUGAGCGUAAAGAGCUCGUAGGUGGUUUGUCGCGUUGUUCGUGAAAACUCACAGCUCAACUGUGGGCGUGCGGGCGAUACGGGCAGACUAGAGUACUGCAGGGGAGACUGGAAUUCCUGGUGUAGCGGUGGAAUGCGCAGAUAUCAGGAGGAACACCGGUGGCGAAGGCGGGUCUCUGGGCAGUAACUGACGCUGAGGAGCGAAAGCGUGGGGAGCGAACAGG